CAACUGCAAAAAAACAGUGGAUUUUAUACCCUGUUGUGUUACCCAAGUAUUGAGAGAAUGAUGUACGCUGCAUAGUUUCUCUAGAGAAUCUUUCCACUGAUUCCAGCAGUAACCUCCUAAAAGGAUUGUUUAGUGGGAGAAGUUUCAGAAUUUGUUUGGAUGGAAACUCCUCAUGAGAAAGAAAGUAGCCAGCAAUUCCCUAUCCACAUGGUGAAUAUCAUCACCGUGGGAGGAAGGUGUGAUGUACACCAAACUUUUGGGCAGAACUGCUAAAAAAAAUUUGACCACAGUGCCAGUCAAGCGGCAAUGAGGGAAUGAAUCAAACUGAGAUGCACAUUAACCUCCAGCUCUCUGAAAUACUCCCAAACCCCCCGAGGACUCAAACCUCACCUGUGGCGAUUAAUUGGUCAACCUCUACAUUGCCCUGCCUCUGCCAGUCUGCCCAGUCAGUUCUCCAUUCGUCUCCCUCUGUCUGCCUGUCAGCUUUGAUUCCUCCCCUUCUCCAGCACUUUUCCCACAAAACACUAAUCCUGUAGCUUGAGAAUCAGGCGCCAGAGGUUCAGCGAGUGAAAGAGAUUGAGGAUGAACUUUGGCUUACUGUCAGGCUUGGCAACCCUUCUACAUAAAACCUCCAAGAGAAGGCAUACUGAUCAGUGAUCACUUGUUGAAGCACAUUACUUUUACAUUUUAAAAUAAAUAGAAUUCAACUUUUUGUAGUAACACACAAUUAAACUCAUACUGUACACACAAACAUGAAAUGACUAUAUAAAGAGCAUAA